rnacentral:misc_RNA from 1 species
AACGCAACUUGCGCACACAUCUGGUGAGCAUGCAGCCACUACACGCUAGAGAGAUGAAGGGCUUGCCCACUUCCUCUAGCGCUAGUGUCUGUUCACUUGCUAUCGACUGAAUAUUUUUUAAAAUCUUGGUCUCAAAUCAGGCAGGAAGACCCGCUGAACUUAA